CAGUCGCCGCGGUAAUACGUAGGUGGCAAGCGUUGUCCGGAUUUAUUGGGCGUAAAGCGAGCGCAGGCGGUCAAUUAAGUCUGAUGUGAAAGCCCCCGGCUCAACCGGGGAGGGUCAUUGGAAACUGGUUGACUUGAGUGCAGAAGAGGAGAGUGGAAUUCCAUGUGUAGCGGUGAAAUGCGUAGAUAUAUGGAGGAACACCAGUGGCGAAGGCGACUCUCUGGCCUGUAACUGACGCUGAGGCUCGAAAGCGUGGGUAGCAAACAGGAUUAGAUACCCCCGUAGUCCCUGUCUCUUAUAC
rnacentral:rRNA from 1 species